rnacentral:rRNA from 1 species
AGCCACAUGUAUAUAUAUUUGGUGUUUUCUGCCCAGUGAUAUUUAAACGGCCGCAGUACUUUGACUGUGCUAAGGUAGCAUAAUCAAUUGACUUUUAAUUGAAGUCUGGAAUGAAUGGAAAAAUGGGAAAAUUCUAUCUUAAAAAAAAUUUAAUUAAAUUAUUGAUAAGGUGAAAAUACCUUAUAUUUAAAAAUAGACGAGAAGACCCUUAGAGUUUUUUUGUUGGGGUGACAAGUAAGCAAACCUUAUUUGAUGUAAGGAUAAACUACCUAAGGGAUAACAGCAUAAUUUUUUAUAAAGAUUGUGACCUCGAUGUUGGACUAGGGAAUUAAUAAUUAGAAAUUAAAAUAAAAUGUUCUGUUCGAACAUUAACCCCU